rnacentral:rRNA from 1 species
UGCUAUACAUGCAAGUCGAGCGGACAGAUGGGAGCUUGCUCCCUGAUGUUAGCGGCGGACGGGUGAGUAACACGUGGGUAACCUGCCUGUAAGACUGGGAUAACUCCGGGAAACCGGGGCUAAUACCGGAUGCUUGUUUGAACCGCAUGGUUCAGACAUAAAAGGUGGCUUCGGCUACCACUUACAGAUGGACCCGCGGCGCAUUAGCUAGUUGGUGAGGUAACGGCUCACCAAGGCAACGAUGCGUAGCCGACCUGAGAGGGUGAUCGGCCACACUGGGACUGAGACACGGCCCAGACUCCUACGGGAGGCAGCAGUAGGGAAUCUUCCGCAAUGGACGAAAGUCUGACGGAGCAACGCCGCGUGAGUGAUGAAGGUUUUCGGAUCGUAAAGCUCUGUUGUUAGGGAAGAACAAGUGCCGUUCAAAUAGGGCGGCACCUUGACGGUACCUAACCAGAAAGCCACGGCUAACUACGUGCCAGCAGCCGCGGUAAUACGUAGGUGGCAAGCGUUGUCCGGAAUUAUUGGGCGUAAAGGGCUCGCAGGCGGUUUCUUAAGUCUGAUGUGAAAGCCCCCGGCUCAACCGGGGAGGGUCAUUGGAAACUGGGGAACUUGAGUGCAGAAGAGGAGAGUGGAAUUCCACGUGUAGCGGUGAAAUGCGUAG